UCCCGGCUUCUGCAGACGUUCACACAGGUGCCCUCAUGCCCGGCCUUCCAAGCACAGGCGUGUAGGGGAUUUCUCACAAACGCUUUCUUUGGGUUUUCAGUGUAGACUCACCACUCACUUUUGGAAGCAUCCCAAAUUGAGGAAUAAGGGUCUGAGCCCCGUUCUUUGCCUCUGCACAGGUGUCUACCUUAAAGUUGAGGGGAUACACUGACAUCCUAUUCAAUUGGCAAGAAAUUGCUCUCUUGUCAUAGAAGGUUUCCUGGUCUUGGCUGCUGGAAAAGCCUUCUCUUCUCCAGCCAACGUAUUCCCCGGCCUGGAAGCAGACCUCAGGUGGGGCCCUGGAGGCAGCAAGAGAAGCUGGGCUGAGUGGAGACUCACACCACAGAGGAUUCUGUAAGCCAGCCGGUAAACUUCCCAAAGGAUCAUUUGUUGCUUAAAGCCACCAGUUAUGUUCUGCCUCUCGCAAAAAAAGAAAAAAAUGUCUCGGUGGAGAAGGUGUUAGCGGUAGAAGCAGGGUUCAGGACCCGGACUCCAGGACUGAUGACCCUACCCGAGCUUCAGGGACCCCGGUCUUACUGGCUGGGAGAAGGCAAGCCCUCAGAUGUUUGCGCUGUGGGCGACCAGAUGGACGAUCCAAAGGCCGGUGGCUGUGUCCCCGGGGCAGGUCACUGCGAAGCCGCCCCCUUUGCAAAGGCGGAGCCCCCCUCCAUGCAGCCACCCUUCGGGACCCCGACACUUUGUGGGACACGGUUUUCAAGCCCCUGGAUAGUCUCUCAACUCCGUUUCAGCUUCAAAAUAAUAUGAUCAUACACAUCCUUGGAAAGACUGGUUUCUGCGCCCACGAGAAUCACAUCCUAGUGAAGCUCUAGAUUCUAUGAGGCUGCAUGAUUCCAGCCUCUCUGCCUGUUUGACUGGGGGAUACACUUUUCCCACCUGCGACAGUCACUUCUUUCUUGUGCUGGGGGCAAAGCCGCAGGGAAUCUUCCAGCUGAGCCUGUCCCUCCGCCUCCUCCAUCGCCCUGAGGACAAGGAGACCCCUGACCUCGGCAUUGGUUCUUGGAUCAGGCCUCUUCUUCAUGUUCUAGAAACAAAACUGCAUGAAACAAGCGACCCUCAUCAUGUGUGUCUCUUGAGAACGUCUCUUGCACUAGCCGAUCCAUUUCUGUCUCUCCGCCUCUGGCUCAUCCCAAUCCAUCACCUCCCCCUCCAUGGUAGAGAGAAAACAUCUGGAAGGGAGUCACAAAGAGCUCAGCGACGGGGGCAGAAGCGUGAUGCUUUCGCUCUGUGGCGACGAAUGCCCAGCCCUGUGAUGAAUCCCCCUCUUGGCCCAGCGCUGACGUGAGGCUCCCGCAUAGACGAAUUCACAGCCACAGACUCACGGACCUGCCCCUUCGGGCUGCAGACCAGAGAUGCGUCUGAUUUGUGUGUUUGCUGAAGCUUAAGUGGGCAGGUUCUUUCCUCUACCCUCUGAACAGCCAGGGAGGAACCCACCAACUCACAAGAGAGAGAAAAAUCCACCCCAAUAGCAAGUGUGGUCUUUCUUCACACCCCUCCUAUCGCUUCAGCCUCCGAGGUGCUGUUUGGAAGGGUGUAUGGAUUACAUUUGGGAAGCUUUCCAAACUGUCUCCACAAAGAAAAGAAAGAAGGAAAAGAUAACCAGCCAUAUUAGGCCGGCCAUAUUAACAAGCAAACCGCUUUUCCUCUAGUGAACCACAGAGUGUCUGUGGUGAGCAGGGAAGGAGCCUAUGUUCCGGGGUUUUCUCACAGAGGGUUAGGUUUCCGGUCUAUUUUCCUGGAUCUAAUCACUCACGUGUCCCUACCGCUGGCUGCGUGUGCAACCAAAGUUCUCAUCAGUUUGCUGGCUUAACAAGGAGUGGAUGUGAGCGAUGGGAGGGUCUCCCCAGAUGCCAUGCGUUUUUGUUCGCCCCCAUUCCUAAACGUGGUAAUAAAGUGCAAUACCAAUAACUAAUUAAAAAGUCCCUGGAAAAGUUGCGUGAACGAAAUCCUUGUGAACUACUGCCGUAAAUAUCAUGAGAGAUUCCUUUCAUUCAGAACUGAGUGGGGGCCAGGCAUGGUGUAAGCAACUGAUCCGAUCUUCACCAAAUGUCCAUCAAGGUGGGACUUUUAUCUCGGAUAAGAAAUUGCGAAUCAGAAAGAUGAAGCGAUUUGCUGAAAAUAACAGAGCUAAGAUAUGGGAAAAUUGGGAUUUGAAAGCGGGACCUCAGAUUCAAAAAUCCUGAUUUUUAAUACCGCGCUAUGCUGAAGGAGAUAAGGAACAAAACCUGAAAUACGGAAUGGAAAAGCGGGCUGGAACAAAAGCGUGAAGUACGAGUCAACGAAGGGCUCAGAAUUAGAUCAACAAGUUCUGGUAUGCAAAUCGAGUGAUCAAAAUUCUUAAAAAAAAAUAGCAGAAGUGUCAUAGAAGACAUAGAUUUGGAGCCGAAUCUGGAGGUAAGAAAGAAAUACUCCAAAGAGAAAACCGUCCUGUAUUUCUUUCUGUGCACUUCCUGUUUUAGAAGUGCUGUAGUCAUUGGGCAAGAAUCGCAUAGACAUACAGAGAUACUUUGAACUUGGGUAGACCGUUCCAUAACCUGCACGGGUAUUGGCAACGGGAUGGUGGGGAAUAGAAAGCAUUGCUAUAUCUGAAUGGAGGUUCAUUGAUUUUAUCCGUUAAAAAUAGCUUGGCAAUUGGCUUUUGAUCAUUGUUCCCUCAGAACAAAAACCAAAAGUAGAAGAAAUAGCCUAUUGCCAGAAUUGGGUCUACAGCCGCUACCUGAAACUUUUUGCUAGAUUCAGGGAAGAGUUUGGAAUAACCUGAAGAUCACUUUUUUUUUUUUUCUAAUGUGCUUGAAAACAAGUUGGAAUCUUCAUUUGAACUUGAAAGUGCAGGAAUCCCAGCAUGUUGGGCAGAUAGUGGUGUUCAGCCUUUGGGGCUAAAACAAGACAGGAUGAUGACAGAAACCCGUCUGUGGGCUUGGAAGGCAGUUAUUAUGGGAUAUGAUAACAGUAUUUUGAAAGGGUGACUGUUUUUAUGUUUCCUGUCUUUUCUUUGUGGUUUCCCUUUUAUUCUUUCUCUUGGAGUUUGGUAAAGAUCUUUUGGAAAAUUCUGACCUGUUUCCACUCUUCUGGAGGGAACUUUUACAGAGGAAUCUGCCUAUGCUUGGGGAAGAUUUAUUUAAAAAAAACCUGGAGUAUUGGGGCACCUGGGUGGCUCAGUUGUUUAAGCCUUUGACUCUUGAUCUCAGCCCAUGUCAGGAUCUC